rnacentral:rRNA from 1 species
ACGAACGCUGGCGGCGCGCCUAACACAUGCAAGUCGAACGAGAGAGAGGAAGCUUGCUUCCUCAAUCGAGUGGCGAACGGGUGAGUAACGCGUGAGGAACCUGCCUCAAAGAGGGGGGCAACAGUUGGAAACGACUGCUAAUACCGCAUAAGCCUACAGCUCGGCAUCGAGCAGAGGGAAAAGGAGCAAUCCGCUUUGAGAUGGCCUCGCGUCCGAUUAGCUAGUUGGUGAGGUAACGGCCCACCAAGGCAACGAUCGGUAGCCGGACUGAGAGGUUGAACGGCCACAUUGGGACUGAGACACGGCCCAGACUCCUACGGGAGGCAGCAGUGGGGAAUAUUGCACAAUGGGGGAAACCCUGAUGCAGCGACGCCGCGUGGAGGAAGAAGGUCUUCGGAUUGUAAACUCCUGUUGUUGAGGAAGAUAAUGACGGUACUCAACAAGGAAGUGACGGCUAACUACGUGCCAGCAGCCGCGGUAAAACGUAGGUCACAAGCGUUGUCCGGAAUUACUGGGUGUAAAGGGAGCGCAGGCGGGAAGACAAGUUGGAAGUGAAACCUAUGGGCUCAACCCAUAAACUGCUUUCAAAACUGUUUUUCUUGAGUAGUGCAGAGGUAGGCGGAAUUCCCGGUGUAGCGGUGGAAUGCGUAGAUAUCGGGAGGAACACCAGUGGCGAAGGCGGCCUACUGGGCACCAACUGACGCUGAGGCUCGAAAGUGUGGGUAGCAAACAGGAUUAGAUACCCUGGUAGUCCACACCGUAAACGAUGACUACUA